rnacentral:misc_RNA from 1 species
UCGUACAAUCGAGGUGCCGGAGUUGUCGCUGUCCUCUAAAGGGGUCGUGCACGCCUCGGUGCUCUCACAAAUAAUCCAUCUCACCCCUUUUGUGCAUUACCGCGUGGGGACCCCUUUUGGCUAGUUCCGAGGGGGGUUUUCACGUUUUUACAAAAACACCCUUUUAAUGCAAUGUGUAGAAUGUCUUUACUUUUUGCGAUCAUACGCAAUCAAUA